rnacentral:rRNA from 1 species
UACGGAGGAUGCAAGCGUUAUCCGGAUUUAUUGGGUUUAAAGGGUGCGCAGGUGGUUUAAUAAGUCAGUGGUGAAAGUCUGCCGCUUAACGGUAGGAUUGCCAUUGAUACUGUUGGACUUGAAUAUGGAUGAGGUAGGCGGAAUGUGUAGUGUAGCGGUGAAAUGCUUAGAUAUUACACAGAACACCGAUUGCGAGGGCAGCUUACUAAUCCAUGAUUGACGCUGAGGCACGAAAGCGUGGGGAUCAAACAGG